UUACGGGAGGCAGCAGUGGGGAAUAUUGGACAAUGGGCGCAAGCCUGAUCCAGCCAUGCCGCGUGUGUGAAGAAGGCCUUCGGGUUGUAAAGCACUUUUGUUGGGGAAGAAAAGCCGCUGGUUAAUACCCGGUGGUCAUGACGGUACCCAAAGAAUAAGCACCGGCUAACUUCGUGCCAGCAGCCGCGGUAAUACGAAGGGUGCAAGCGUUACUCGGAAUUACUGGGCGUAAAGCGUGCGUAGGUGGUUCGUUAAGUCUGUCGUGAAAGCCCCGGGCUCAACCUGGGAAUGGCGAUGGAUACUGGCGGGCUAGAGUGCGGUAGAGGAGAGUGGAAUUCCCGGUGUAGCAGUGAAAUGCGUAGAGAUCGGGAGGAACAUCAGUUGCGAAGGCGGCUCUCUGGACCAGCACUGACACUGAGGCACGAAAGCGUGGGGAGCAAACAGGAUUAGAUACCCGUGUAC
rnacentral:rRNA from 1 species